AAGGGAGUCGCCUUGUAGGUAUGUGUGAUCUUCAUGAUUCAUAAAACAACACAGUAAAAAGUGUAGAGAACACAUACCCCAUCCCUCCUCCAAGCAAGCAAAGAGAUCAAAAUUAUCUUGCCAUAGUAUGGUGUGGAUCAUCUCUAGAGGGCUUCAACAUUGGAGCCUAGGGUGAACAAGGGGCCGAACAUGGAUCACCGCUUGAAACUUUAGUGAGUUUAAAAUGCAGAAUAAAAAAUUUUGAAAAUGAUAUUGUAGCAACGCACUAAUGGCAAGCACAAACCAUUGAGCGCCGCCGAGUGCGAGCAGGCAGGUGAUCACGAGUGGGCCUGCAUGUAGGUAGGGGCGUAUGCGCAUAGAGCGGAGGAGUCUGUGCACGUGCUUGGCCAUCUGUGCAUUGGCGGCUGGACACCA